AGCGGUAGAGAGGUGCUUGCACCUCUUGAGAGCGGCGGACGGGUGAGUAAAGCCUAGGAAUCUGCCUGGUAGUGGGGGAUAACGCUCGGAAACGGACGCUAAUACCGCAUACGUCCUACGGGAGAAAGCAGGGGACCUUCGGGCCUUGCGCUAUCAGAUGAGCCUAGGUCGGAUUAGCUAGUUGGUGAGGUAAUGGCUCACCAAGGCGACGAUCCGUAACUGGUCUGAGAGGAUGAUCAGUCACACUGGAACUGAGACACGGUCCAGACUCCUACGGGAGGCAGCAGUGGGGAAUAUUGGACAAUGGGCGAAAGCCUGAUCCAGCCAUGCCGCGUGUGUGAAGAAGGUCUUCGGAUUGUAAAGCACUUUAAGUUGGGAGGAAGGGCAUUAACCUAAUACGUUAGUGUUUUGACGUUACCGACAGAAUAAGCACCGGCUAACUCUGUGCCAGCAGCCGCGGUAAUACAGAGGGUGCAAGCGUUAAUCGGAAUUACUGGGCGUAAAGCGCGCGUAGGUGGUUCGUUAAGUUGGAUGUGAAAUCCCCGGGCUCAACCUGGGAACUGCAUUCAAAACUGUCGAGCUAGAGUAUGGUAGAGGGUGGUGGAAUUUCCUGUGUAGCGGUGAAAUGCGUAGAUAUAGGAAGGAACACCAGUGGCGAAAGCGACCACCUGGACUGAUACUG
rnacentral:rRNA from 1 species